UGCAUUCCUAAAAACAAGUCCAACUACGUGGGUGAACAUCAUUCCGAUUUGGCUGACGAGCAUUUGGGUGUCCCCGAAAGCCUCUCUAAAUGUUAUUAGCUCGCAUAUCAUGAAAAUUAUAGCCAAAAGGAACAGGCACGAUUUGUACAGGGCAUAGACGAUUCUUAAAAUCUGAAAGAUGAAUAUUUAAGGGAUUUUCAAAGGUGCUCUCAGCUGUAAGGAUAGUAAGUAAAAUACGCAAACAAUACAGCAAAAUUUUGAUUUUUUCCUGUGCGAGUAAAGAAGCUAGAUUUUGGAAGUCUGCUUCAGGAACUACGCAAGAUUGCACUACUGCAAUAUUUUAAUGGACAUGCAUUUUGUUGAUAAACGAUAAAGCACAAUACUGGAGUGAUGAAAAUAAGAAAAGGGUGUUGGACGUAAAAUGAUAAGUUAGAUGAUCUGUGAAGGUGUGUGUGUAUAGUCCCAACCAUAAAUGAAAUACGGGCUUGCGAACAUGCUCAAUUAAUGUAGCAGCAGUGUGCGCUACUUAUUUAUUUAUUAUAUUUUAAAUCAAAAUUACAAUCUUUGGAUAGGACGCAAUGGACACAUCUAGUGGCCACCUCGAAGUCCAGAUCUUACCCCACUGGACAUUUUUUUUUUGGGUGACAAUUAAAGAUAUGGUAUAUAAAAAAAGAUGCACUACAGUAAAUGAACUACAAAGGUGUAUUAGAGAAGCUGUAGUCUAACUAAAUAACACUCAUUUGGUUUAAAUACUAUAAAUCAUAUAAAGGUUGUUUAUACAAUGUGCAUUAUUCAAAAUAGCGGACAUGUUGAAAACUUACUGUACAUUUUCUAU